rnacentral:rRNA from 1 species
GACGAACGCUGGCGGCGUGCUUAACACAUGCAAGUCGAACGAAGUGGCGAACGGGUGAGUAACGCGUAAUCAACCUGCCCUUCAGAGGGGGACAACAGUUGGAAACGACUGCUAAUACCGCAUACUGAAGGAGGGGAUUGCGUCUGAUUAGCUAGUUGGAGGGGUAACGGCCCACCAAGGCGAUGAUCAGUAGCAGGUCUGAGAGGAUGAACGGCCACGUGGUGACUCAGAUACGGCCCAGACACCUACGGGAGGCAGCAGUGGGGGAUAUUGCACAAUGGGCGAAAGCCUGAUGCCGCGACGCCGCGUGGGGGAUGAAGGCUUUCGGGUUGGAAACCUCUUUCGCUAUCGAACGGGUAGGUGGAGAAGAAGCGCCGGCUAACUACGUGCCAGCCGCCGCGGUAAUAC